UGACUGCAAGACGACGUGAAUGGGUCAAGGUCCACUCUUUGGGUGUUCCAGGACCCAGGAAAGUCCCCGGGCCAUUUCUGCAGAGAUGCAGGUUCGGUAACGAAUUAGCUUCACGGGCUUAAGGAGUUUAAAGCCCGUAUGGGCUUGGGCUGAGACGAGGUGUGGAGCCUAUGACACCUGCUCGGGAGCGAUAUUGGCCAGUUUGACAGUUAUUCACGUGGCCCAGUUGGGCUAACUGAACGGGGCUUAUGCUCUUGCAGUC
rnacentral:RNase_MRP_RNA from 2 species